ensembl:rRNA 5S_rRNA 5S ribosomal RNA
ACCGGCAGCCAUAUCACCCUGUAGCCCAAGACUGCUUACCCACUGAAGCUAAGCAGGGCUGAGCCUGGUCAGUACCUGGAUGGGAGACCUCCUGGGCAAACUAGGUUGUUGUUGCUG